rnacentral:lncRNA from 1 species
GCAAACAAAGCUCUCAAGUUGGUGAUCCUCAGGAGUCUCUGCAUUAGUUGGACAGCUCUUCUGGAAUUAUCUUCUAAGUCAACUGUGGGUUGGGUAGGUGGCUCUGCUGAUUUUUCGCUGGACUUCCACAUUUGGGACGAGUUGGCUGUCAUCAGCUCUAGAAAGGGUGUGGCCGUUUUACAUUGGCUGUUUUCCUCACAUUCCUCAAGCAGGUACUGUAAUAAAGAACUGGAGAAAUACAGUCAGAUGGGAAGUAGCCCUUGCUGUCAAGGAGCUUGCCAUCUAAUGGGGGAGACAGGCAAGUAAACCAAAGACUACACAGUGCAGUAUGGUAAGUGCCAUGAUUUUGAUGUGACAGGGCACAGUGGACGACCUUCCAAAUCAAAGCAAGUAACUAGGGGUUGACAAUGGUAAGUAUCAUAGUUGAAGUAUCCUUGAACAAGGUUUCAGGAAGAAGAAGAAGGGAAUUUCAUGCAGGGAAACAGCCAAAGCUCAGUGAGUCAAAAUAUCACAGCAUUCUUGGUAAGCCCAAUUGUUUUUUCUGUUUUGCUAUUUUGGUGGAGAGAAAGGAACACAUAAAGGAAUAACAUGAGAGAAGGCUAUUUGGGGAAGUGUAGUAGUUAAGGUUCUGGCUCAAACAACAACUGCAGCUCAUAAAGUUGACUUUAGUGGAAGGAUACUGGGGUAUCUCAUGGAAUCUUGGGAACUGUUGAAUAACCAGGGAAACUCUGGGAAACUCACUGGUAGGAAUCCAUAAACUGUCCUCCUGGUGGGCUGUAAACAACUCACCCUCUAUGCAUCUCACAUCAAAAUUCCAGUUUCUUGGGAAAACAAGUCUGUUUGCCCAAUUUGGGUCAUAUUUCCACGUCCAUGUUACUCAGGCAUGAUUCAUCUGCAAGUUAUGUGUAUAGAUAUUUUGCUACUGUUCCACCCUUACGCUGUGCUGGGGAGGGAGGUGUCACUGUGAGCUGUGUCGGUGCCUUAAGAGAUAUCUGUUGUGUCUUAUUACUUGGUUGCUUUUCCCCACAUGUACAAUGACAAAAAUGCCUUCAACCUAUUUGAUCCAGCCGUUCCAGUACAACUCCUAUACUUGCCAUCUUUCCAAGCCCAAAGGUACAUCCAGCUGAUGGAAGGAGCAUCUUGGUGUUAAUAUUCUUUUAGUCAUGGUCUCUGAAAGUAAAAUGUCUAUUCUUCUAAUUCUGGCACAAUCUUAUCUAGCUAUAGUUCCUCAUGGUCCUGCACUCCAUGGACUAAAUUGUAAGUAUAAUUACUACCAAUGUACUCUAUAAAUAACUUUUGGGGCCAGGGUGGCAAUAGUUGCUAGAGAGAAAAAAAAAAAAAAGGAAGGAGAAGAAAACAGUGAUAGUUCUUAUUUUAAAAGGAAAAAAAGAGGCAGGAGGCUCUCUUGAGGCCAGGAGUUUAAGACCAGCCUAGGCAGCAUUUCAAGACCCUGUCUCUACUAAAAAGUAAAAAAAAAAUUUAGUCAGGCAUGGUGGCAUGCACCUGUAGUCGUAGCUACUCAGGAGACUGAGGUGGGAGGAUUGAUUGAGCUCAGGAGUUUGAGGCUGCAGUGAGCAAUCAUCAUGCCAUUGCACUCCAGCCUGGGCAUCAGAGCAAGACCUUGUCUUUUAGGAAAAAAAGGCAGGGAAGAGGAAUAGGUAAUUUUUCAGUGUUCAGACAUUCCAGCAAUAUGUGUGGAGUACUCAUUCUCACUACAGUUUAUGAGGCCAUAGCUAGUAUGUAUGACUACCCAUCCAAGUUUCCCUGCUUACAGUUACUAUUCCAACUGAUUGGGGGGCUUUUCCUAAUAGAGUGAUUUAAGCCUUCAUUUUUAGACAUCUAAGCCCUUGGUGAUCAUCAGCAUAAAAUGUGACAAAUUAAACAAAAGCAAGACAGCACAUCAGAGAACAACUCUGAGGUGGAAUGAUUGGGAACCAAUGAAUAGUUGUUCAGUAAAUGGUUUAUAUUUUACAGAUGAUGAAACUGAAACACAAAAAAUUUAGAUUAACUCUUAGGUGACAAAGCCAGGAUUGAAGCUCAUGCGGUCUGGCUCCAGAACAACUCUUCUUCAUAGUUACGUUAUACUGCCCCUGCAUUGUUGGUAUUGAAACUGAGAAAAAAGCUGUGGCCCAAAAGUUUCUCCCCUGAGAGGGACAGGAUCAGAUUGUCUUUUCAAGAGUUCCCAUGUGCAAUACAGAGCUGAAGUUGAAGCUGAAAGGAUUCAUAGAGAAAGAUAACUGAUACCGUGCUUCCAGAAGAUUUUUCUAACAGUGUUUGCAAGCUAUAAAAUAGUGCUUUCACUUAGAAAAGGCUAGACGUGGUGGUUCAUGCCUGUAAUCCCAGCACUUUGAGAGGCCGAGGCACCAUGCUGGGAGAUAAGGAUCCAACAUAAGACAAACAGUGCUGAUGCUUUUGGAAAGCUCAUAUUCAAGCUGGGGAGACAAACAACAUACAAGUGGCUGUAGCUACCUUCUGCAUAUGGAUAUCCAGUUUUCCCAGCACCACUUAUUAAAGAGACUGUCUUUUCUGCAGUGUAUAUUCUUGGCACCGUUGUUGAAAAUGAAUUCAUUGUAGGAGGGCUCUGAGAGAUUUCAUUUCUGUCCUGCUGAUGAAGUCUACGUUCAUUCAGGGCCUGCUGUGGAAGACCAGCCCCAAAGGAAUGAGACUACAUACACUAAAAAACCAAAAAGCCUAAAAAAAGAGAUGAUAUUUUAAUUUCAAAAGCUUAAUAAUUUGCUGAACAGAAGACUUUUGAGAGUCAGCAGAAAUCUUCCACUUUGCAUGGUUCUCUUGAUGUGAAAUCAUCUAUAUAGCCCCAGAAUUGGAAAAGAAAAAAAAUAAAAAAAUGGAAGGAAACUGGAUUCGACAACAGUCUAAUGCUUUCUACUUUUAUUUACUUUUUCUUUAAAAAAAGUAAAUUCUGUUUAUAGUUACAAACAUCUGAUUUCUCAAUGAAUACUAGAGGAAAAAGGGAACAAAGGAAUCCAUAAUCUUCAAUUUACUUAAGAACUUAAUUAACCAAAUGCAAUGGACUCUAUUUGGGUACUGAUUUGAACAAAUAAACUAUAAAGACAUUUUUGAGACAAUUGGGGAAAUGUGAACAAUGAUUGGGUAUUUGAUGAUAUUAAGGAGUCACUGUCAAUUUUUAGGUGUGAUCAUGGUAUUGUGGUUCUGUUCCAAAAAAUAGCCCUUAUCUUUUAGAGCUAUGUUACAGUUUGGCUCCGUAUCCCCAUCCAGGCUUCAUCUUGAAUUGUAAUUCCUGUAUGUCAAAGGAGCAACCUGGUGGGAGGUGAUUGGGUCAUGGGGAUGGUUUCACCCAUGCUGUUCUCAUGAUAGUGAGUUCUCAUGAGAUCUGAUCGUUUAAAAGUGUGACACUUCCCCUCUUGCUCUCUUGUCUCCCACCACCAUGUAAGACAUGACUUGCUUCCCCUUCUGCCAUAAUCAUAAGAAUUGUAAUUUUCCUGAGGCCUCCCAAGCCAUGUGGAACUGUGAGUCAAUUAAACCUCUUUUCUUUAUAAAUUACCCUGCAACUGUCACCAUUCUCCAGACCCCAGAAUGGUAGAUCCAGCGACAGCCCUUGCACCUUCACCUGGAAAAGCCUCAGGCACUCACACCAGCCCUAAGACUGUGUAAUUUAUAAGGAAAAGAGGUUUAAUUGACUCACAGUUUUUAUAGCACUGUGAAAAUGGACUAAUAACAGAAAACUGGUAUCAGAAUAGUGGGGUACUACUAUAAAGAUAACCUGAAAAUGUGGAAGUGACUUUGGAACUGGGUAAUGGGCAGAGGUUAGAACAGUUUGGAGGAAUCAGAAGACAGGAAGAUGUGAGAAAGUUUGGAACUUCCUACAGACUUGUCAAAUGGUUUUGACUAAAAUGCUGAUAGUGAUAUGGACAAUGAAGUGCAAGCUCAGGUGGUCUCAGAUGGAGAUGAGAAACUUAUUGGAAACUAGAGUAUCUUGUAUGUUUUAGCAAAGAGACCAGUGGCAUUUUGCCCCCACCCCAGAGAUCUGUGGAACUUUGAAGUUGAGAGAGAUGAUUUAGGGUCUCUGAGAGAAGAAAUUUUUAAGGAUUCAAGAGGUGAUCUGGCUUUUGUGAAAGUGUACAGUCAUAUGCAUUCACAAAGAGAUGAUCUGAAAUUGGAACUUAUGUUUAAAAGGGAAGCAGAGCAUAAAAGUUAAAAAAAAAUUGCAGCUUGGCCAUGUGGUAGAAAAGAAAAACCCAUUUUAUGGGGAGAAAUUCAAGCUCGCUGCAGAAAUCUUCUUAAGUAAUGAGGAGCUAAAUAUUGCCAAGACAAUGGGGAAAAUGACUCCAGGCCAUUUCAGAGAUCUUCAAGGAAGCCUCUCCCAUCACAAGCCUGGAUAUCUAGGAGGAAAAAAUGGUUUUGUGGGCCAGGCUCAGAGCCCCACUGCUCUGUGCAGCCUCAAGACGGGGUGACCUGUAUUGCUGUUGCUUCAGCUCCACCCAUGGCUAAAAGGGGUCAAGGUACAGCUCAGACCAUUGCUUCAGAGGGUGCAAGCCCCACACCUUGGCAGCUUCCAUGUGGUGUUAAGUCUGCAGGUGCACAGAAGACAAGAGUUGAGCUUUGGGAGGCUCUGCCUAGAUUUCAGAGGAUGUGUGGAAAUGCCUGGAAGUCCAAGCAGAAGUCUGCUGUGGAGGUGGAGCCCUCAUGGAGAACCUCUACUAAGGCAGUACAGAGGAGAAAUGUGAGGUUGGAGCCCCCACACAGAGUCCCCACCGGGGCACUGGGUAGUGGAGCUGUAAGAAGAGGGCCACCAUUCUCUAGACCCCAGAAUGGUAGAUCCACCAACAGCUUGCACCGUGCACUUGGAAAAGCCCCAGGCACUCAACGCCAGCCCAUGAAAACAGCCACAGGGGCUGUACCCUGCAGAACCACAGGGGUGGAGCUGCCCAGAACUUUGGGAGUCCACCCCUUGCAUCAGUGUAGCUUGGAUGUGAGACAUGGAGUCAAAGGAGAUUAUUUUGGAGCUUUAACAUUUAAUGACUGCUCCACUGGGUUUCAGAUUUGCAUGGGCCUUGCAGCCUCUUUGUUUUGGCAAAUUUUUCCCAUUUGGAAGGGGAGCAUUUACCCAAUGCCUGUACCCCCAUUGUAUCUUGGAAGUAACUAACUUGUUUUUUAUUUUAUAGGCUCAUAGAUGGAAGGCUUGUCUCAGAUAAGACUUUGGACUUGGACUUUUGGGUUAAUGCUGGAAUGAGUUAAGACUUUGGGGUUCUGUUGGGAAGGCAUGAUUGUGUUUUGAAAUGUGAGAAGGACAAGAGAUCUGGGAGGGGCCAGGGUUGGAAUGAUAUGGCUUGGCUCUGUGUCCCCACCCGAAUCUCAUCUCAAAUUGUAAUCCUCACAUGUGGAGGAAGGUACCUGGUGGGAGCUGAUUGGAUCAUGGGGGUGGUUCCCCCAAGCUGUUCUCAUGAUAGUAAGUUCAUUCUCAUGAGAUCUGAUGGUUUAAAAGUGUGGCAUUUACACACUCUUUCUCUCCUGCUGCCAUGUAAGACAUGCCUUGCUUUCCCUUAACCUUCUGCCAUGAUUGUAAGUUUCCCGAGGUGUCCCCAGCCAUGUGAAACUGUGAGUUAAUUAAAGCUCUUUUCUUUAUAAAUUACCCAAUCUCAGGUAUUUCUUUAUAGCAGUGUGAAAAUGGACUAAUGGACUAAUGGAAAAUGGACUAAUACAAGAUACUUAUUGAAUAUAGAAUAAUUAUGUCUACAUAAUUAUUUACAGAUGAAAUAAUUAUGUCUAAAAUUUGCUUCAA